rnacentral:rRNA from 1 species
GACGAACGCUGGCGGCGUGCCUAACACAUGCAAGUCGAACGGGGUAUUUCUUCGGAGAUACUUAGUGGCGAACGGGUGAGUAACGCGUGAGAAACCUGCCUUUCAGUGGGGGACAACAGUUGGAAACGACUGCUAAUACCGCAUAAUGUCAUUUGGGGGCAUCCCCGGAUGACCAAAGAUUUAUUGCUGAAAGAUGGUCUCGCGUCUGAUUAGCUAGAUGGCGGGGUAACGGCCCACCAUGGCGACGAUCAGUAGCCGGUCUGAGAGGAUGAACGGCCACAUUGGGACUGAGAUACGGCCCAGACUCCUACGGGAGGCAGCAGUGGGGAAUAUUGGGCAAUGGGGGAAACCCUGACCCAGCAACGCCGCGUGAAGGAAGAAGGCCUUCGGGUUGUAAACUUCUUUUACCAGGGACGAACAAAUGACGGUACCUGGAGAAAAAGCAACGGCUAACUACGUGCCAGCCGCCGCGGUAAGAC